rnacentral:rRNA from 1 species
GACAGCAGUAGCCGCGGGAAUACAGAGGGUGCGAGCGUUAAUCGGAUUUACUGGGCGUAAAGCGUGCGUAGGCGGCUUUUUAAGUCGGAUGUGAAAUCCCUGAGCUUAACUUAGGAAUUGCAUUCGAUACUGGGAAGCUAGAGUAUGGGAGAGGAUGGUAGAAUUCCAGGUGUAGCGGUGAAAUGCGUAGAGAUCUGGAGGAAUACCGAUGGCGAAGGCAGCCAUCUGGCCUAAUACUGACGCUGAGGUACGAAAGCAUGGGGAGCAAACAGGAUUAGAUACCCCGGUAGUCCCUGUCUCUUAUAC